rnacentral:rRNA from 1 species
GAGCACGUAGGUGGGUUUGUAAGUCAGAUGUGAAAGCCUUCUGUUCAACGGAAGAAUUGCAUCUGAAACUGCGAGUCUUGAGUGUAGGAGGGGAGAAUGGAACUUCUGGUGGAGCGGUGAAAUGCGUAGAUAUCAGAAGGAACGCCGGCGGCGAAAGCGAUUCUCUGGCCUAUUACUGACUCUCAGUGUGCGAAAGCUAGGGGAGCAAACGGGAUUAGAUACCCCGGUAGUCCUAGCCGUAAACGAUGGGCACUAAGUAGAGGGG